GGCUGCUCAGGCCAAUAGUGUUGGAUCUGUUCUAUGACUUCAAGCUCUGGAUCAUCAUUUUUAAAAAUCACCUAUUUUUAAAAAGAAGAAAUGAAUUUGUUCGGUUUUAUUUCCCAUAUUUGGAUAAUAUACAGAAGCCACUUAGAGCUUAAUAUUAACACUCUACAUCAAUGUCGGCCGUGCUCUCAGCGGCGCAUGUCACAUUUCAGCCAUCUGCAGACUCUAAAUGUUAGACUCUAAAUGUUAACUUGGUUCCUCCUCAGCAGCAGAAGCCGGAAAAUUCAACAAGAAGCCCCUGCGCCUUCAGCUCAGAAUUUCAGCAAGAAGAUGAGUCUCAGGGCCAUCUGUUUGGAAGGCUAUCUGAGAACCUGUCCCCACCCCCGUCACCCUGUGCAGCUACAGACGUUAGACCCAAAGCUUGGCAAACACCAGUGAUGUGUCUCAUUUAAUCCCCCGGACAUGCCAGUACCCACCAGAACUGUCUGGAGGGUGAAGAGGUGGUCUCAAGGAUCUUCAGUGGCCUUCCUGUUGCCAUUCCACCCCACCUUCACCACCCUGCUCUACUGCCCAGCGGAGUCCUUGGUGGAAGCUUUGUCUAGCUACACCUAUUCUGAUGGCUCCCAAUUCACAAAGGCAUCUCGAGUCAUUGCUUGUCCUUCAUCGGCUACUAAGACACACUCGGUGAGAAUACAAUGUGAAGUGCUCACCUACCGUCCGUUCUCAGAUCCUGUGGCCAGAAGGUGGUAGAACCGAGACUUGAAGUGCUGCCUCUGAUUCUGAAUCCAGAGAUGUUUCCUAGGAUGAAGAAGUUGGGGCUUUGGUGAGCAGUGACUCUGAACCUAGGGCUUGGGGCCCCACUAAUGCCAAGACCCUGCCUCCCUGUGGGGCAGCCUAAGUUUCAUCUCCAGUCAUGUACCAGGCUCUUUGGGCAUUCUCUGUCUCAGCCAAGCUGCUGGACUGUGAGAAGGGAGCCUGAGGGGGUGAAAGCCAGCAAAGGAGGGUUGAAGUUUUGUUGC
rnacentral:lncRNA from 12 species